UACGUAGGGGGCGAGCGUUGUCCGGAGUUACUGGGCGUAAAGGGCAUGCAGGCGGUCGGACGCGUUUCGGGUGACAGCGGGUGGCUUAACUACCCGAGUGGUCGAAAGACGGUUUGACUUGAGGACGCGAGAGGGACACGGAAUUCCGGGUGGAGUGGUGGAAUGACGUAGAGAUCGCAGGAACACCGAAGGCGAAGGCAGUGUCCUGGCGCGUAACUGACGCUGAGGUGCGAAAGCCAGGGGAGCGAACGGG
rnacentral:rRNA from 1 species